CUGUAGUCUCCCUCACAGCUAUUCCUCCCUCCUCUCUGCAGUCUCCCAGGCUGCAGUUCAGGUCCUGAUGGUUACAGCUGAAUGCGGACAGAAUUCUGAGGUGGAUCAACUAGAACCAGGUGCAAAAUAGUGGCUCAGAUGGGCAGACAUAUGCUUAGAAUCCUACUUCUGCCAUGAACUUACUAGGUGGCUUUAGGCAAUCCACUUCUUCUCAGCCUCAACACCUCCAGCUGCAGUAUGGCAUAAUAGCAUCCAUGACAUCAUCACAGCAAACACAGCACUUGGAUGUCAUCAACAAAAUUGGAUUGUUCAUCAUAGCCAGCCAGAUUAAAUGGCAGUGAUGCCAAAUGAAACAAGGGCAAAGAAGAUGGAGGCGAAUUGCAUGAAGAAGAAAUGCAUUUACCAGGGAAAGAACUGAGGGACCACAUCCAAUGAACAUGGGCCACUGGGGCUGCUGAGGAGUGCCACUGUAGGCCCCACCAUUUGUCACCUCCUCUGCCACUCACACCCCAAACAGCUGGCCACUCCAUGUCUCCCACUAACCACUGCCGUCCUUUGCCAGCCAGCUGGUGCAGUAAGAUGAUGUCACUGCCCAGCGCUUGGGAUUGGGUUGCGCUGGGCUUGCACCAAGUGGUGACAUCAUUAUACUGUGUUGUUUGGCCAUGCUGGCAGGUUACCCAAAUCUAUAAGAAAGUUCAAAAUUUUACUAAUUGCAAAUCAAAUACCUGGCUCCACAUGAGAACAUAGCUGCUACUUGGGGAACUACACGAAUUCCUUUAUAAUGCCACUGAGGAAGGCCCAUUAUAGGCUGAAACGCAUUUGGCUAUAGUAGAAAAGGAAGGACAUUCCCUAUAUGUGACCUGCAAUUGGUUUCAAUGCCCCGUAAGAUAUGGGAUUCACAUUUUCAUCUGAUUUAAGGACAACUGGAUCCUCCUUCAGUUCAUAUUGGACUUCCAGAUACUUAGAAGGUUGACUUUAGGAGGACUGAUCUGCAUAUUGAGUGCUCUUUGCAUAUUCAUUCUGGGGAUCUCAGCAACAAGGCUGAUUGUUAAUUAUCUUUUUACCAAUUUGUUGCUCUACAUUUGUUUUAUAUUGUAACAUGUUUUAACCUUUAUAUAGAUAUAUUGUCCACAUUAAUGUGUUAAAAGAGAGUGUUUAUUAAAUAUUCAUCUUUAUACUAUCUUUUUAUUCCAUGGCAUUUGGAAGCAUUGCAUGUUUCCACCUUUUAUAAAAUAGAUAGUUUUUAAUGUUCCAUGCAUACUUUUAAAACUUAAGCUUUAA